CUUUGUCUGUUGCUGGGUACCUUUCAUUUCGCACUUUCUCCUCUGCUGCUCUCCAGGCUGCUCUUCUGAGUCUUCAAUUUCCAGACCAACCUCCCUUAAGGUGACUGACAGUGGGGACCUCAACCUCACCUACAGGGAUGUGGACUGAUCCCAUGGUCUCAGUGAGAGACCCAGGCAAUAUUUCUACAUGAAGCAUGUUGGAUUUCUGAAUUAUCCAGCCUCAAAUGACACCGGGAUGGGACAGUGUUAACCCAGAUAAGAAAACUGAGGCUCUGAGAAGUUGAGGGACUUGGUCAAGGCCACAUGUCAGUGAGUGCCAGAAGUUUCUGCUACUCCUACAAAAUCAGAAGUUCCCCAAAUCCAAACCAUCUCGACCUACCCCUGUGACCCGCCAAAAGAAGCUGGCCUUCCCCAUCCUCCUGUCUCCGCAGUGCCAUUUGCCUUUCAGUCUCCUAAAAAGAAGCACUUACUCUCUUCCCCAAAUCGCAGAGGGAAGCUUCAAAUACACUUCUAAUCAUCCUCAGUACCCAGC
rnacentral:lncRNA from 1 species